CCUCCACCACCGUCAUGUUAGCAUUCUAUGGCUCCUCCGCUUUUGUGUUAUCCGAUGUCAAUCUUUACUGCAGUCUUCGCCACCGAUCUAUCGGAUUUCUUCAAGAUUCUAAAACUUGUGAUUUUCAAUUUCUUAGAUGUUAUGUUUUUUAGCGUAUUUUUUCCUGUUUUUUUUUUACUUAUUUUUUCAUCGUCAUUUUGUUUUUGUUUUCAUUGGUUGUCCAUAUCGGAAAAAAAUUAAAAACAAAAUAGUUUAGAGAAGACAAAAUGAAAUUAGGAGAAUGUAAUCAAGAAAAUUGAUCCAAUUGAUUGGCCACUGAGUUAAGAAGA
rnacentral:lncRNA from 1 species